GAGGCUAGCAAGACACCAUAAGAUCCGCUGCGGUGUAGAGACAGAGAGCUGCAGCAGUAAGUGAAUGUGUGUCGAUGGGUGAUUUUUGAGGAAAGCUUCUAAGUGUUUACAGAAGACAGAGCGGAUAUAAAAGCAUAACGUGGGAGUUUGUCCCUCAGUGGAUUUCUGGAAUAUUUUCAUUUUAUCUACUUCAGAGGGAAGAUGAGCUUUCAACCCUAGCUGCUGCUGAUGGAGUGCUUGGUUUCUCUAAACUGGCUUCUGCUCGGUUCUGCACUGUUGCUGCUUCCCUCUCCAGCCUUACAAAACAGGGUGUGAAAAGUCAGGGAGGCCACAGCAUAGAACCAUACAUAGAUAUAAACUCCUGCAAAUGGAGUUGGACCGAGGCAGAACUGGUGAGAGGGACAGAGACUGGCAUCUGACAGGCGGUGAUGGACCAAGAUCCCAGAGAGAGGCAGAGGGUGAGGAGGAAAAGAAGGGUGGAGGGAUGACGAAGCUGAGAGGCAGAUGGAGACUCAGCUCUUGCGCUCUCUCCCCGGGGAGACAAACAGCCGAUCUGAA